UACGUAGGAGGCAAGCGUUGUCCGGAAUUACUGGGCGUAAAGCGCGUGUAGGUGGUGGGACAAGUCUGCUGUGAAAGCGCCUGGCUUAACCGGGCGAGGUCGGCGGAAACUGUCCGACUAGAGGACGGUAGAGGGGGGUGGAAUUCCCGGUGUAGUGGUGAAAUGCGUAGAUAUCGGGAGGAACACCAGUGGCGAAGGCGGUUGCCUGGAGCUUUGCUGACGCUGAUGCGCGAAAGCGUGGGGAGCGAUCCGG
rnacentral:rRNA from 1 species